rnacentral:lncRNA from 1 species
CUAGGGAAGUGUCCCAACACCCAUCACAGCCCCAGUCCAAGUGGCCCUUUCCCAGGGUCUGGGCCAGCCCUACAGCUGGAGUCACUGGUAAACCCCGGUGACAGAGACGGAAGAACUUGAGCCUACUCAGUCUGUCUCCACGCCUGAGAAGUGGGGUUAUAGAGACACCAGAGCCUCUUAAACUGUGAAGAGCAACUAAGGAAGAUUGGCCCCUGCAGCCAGGAGGAGAGGCAGCUGCUUAUUCGGCAGGAAUGUGUGGGUGGAGACCUUUAGGAGGAGCAGUAGACAGCAGGAGUGGGACCAGGCCUGGGCUGCCUGGGGGAGGAGGGCUGCCUUGGCCCUCAUCUUUGUGGACAUGGAGAGAGCCCUAGGCCCGGGCUUCGUGGGAUCUUAUGCUCCCAUUUCUCCAGAGAUAAACUGAGGGAGCAGAGUGACCCAAGUCACAGAGCAAAGUAAGGGUGUGGUCUUCUGGCUGAGUCAUGGUAGGCUCUGCAGGCUACAGGGGCUGUGUGCUGGCCACACAGCCAGCCAUGGCUCCCAGGAACACAGCCCACAGUGGGGGAGGCCCAGUUCUUCAAAUAUGCUCCCGACUCAAGGCAGUAUGGUGUGGACAUCACCAUGGCUCUGAAAUGAGCAGGCGAGGAGUGGUGGAAGUGAAGAAAACUGGGUCCAGGACUGGCCCAGCACCACAGUCUACCUCAGUGGGUCCGGCUAACUACAACAGACCUGCAUACCCUCACCGGCUGGAAACCCGGAGGAGCUCUCCUAUGAGCUGGGGAUGUGUCCUGCAAAGAAUUCUGAGUGUGAUCAUGCCAACCAGAUGCAGUGUCACCGGAUUGUAGACACCAUACUUGUCCAUCCAAUAUUUAUUUGUCUUUUUGCAACAUUGGGGAUCAAAGCCAGGGCCUCGCAUCUUUACCAAUGACCAACUACCCCAUGCCAGCCCAUCUAAUAACAAGUAAUGUAUACUCCAUGGAGAUUUAAAAGCAUGACCAGUGUGUGGUGGUGCACACCUGCAAUUCCAGCAAACUGGGGAGCUGAGGGAGGAGAAACGCAAAUUUGAUCCCUGCCUGGGCAACUUAGGGACUUAUCAAGACCCUAAGUUAUCAAGUUAUCAACUUAGGGACCUAUCAAGACCCCAAGUCUCAAAAUAAAAAAUAAAAAACAGCCUGGGGUUAUAGCUCAGUGCAAAGGCCCAGGGUUCAAAUGGAAAUUAUGUCAAUGGACAGUAAAGAAAUAAUAUUGUAUAUCUUAAACAUAUACAAUUUUUAUUUGUCAAUUACGUUAAGGAUGGGAAAAAAAUUUAAUGAAAUAAAUCAGCACAUGGAGAAAAGUUUACAAGUUAUGGGGGGGUUUGUUUGUUUGUUGUUUUUUGAGACAGUCUCACUAUGUAGUCCAGGCUGGCCUCAAAUGUGUGGCAAUCCCACUGCUCAGCCUCCUGGGAUUACAGUUAUGUGUCACCAUGUCCUGAAAAAAAUUUACAAUAUAUACCAUAUACAAUGUGUAUAUAUAUAGUCUAAAAAUCUAUGACCUAUGGUGCCACUUCAAGAAACUAAAAAAGCACAGAACUCGCAAAGUAGAAAACAUAACAAAGAUGACCUUGGAAAUUAAUGAAUCGGAAAACAAGCAAUAAAGAAAUUUAACAAAAU